rnacentral:tRNA from 1 species
GUGGUUGUAGCUCAGUUGGGAGAGCGCUUGAAUGGCAUUCAAGAGGUCAGGGGUUCGAUUCCCCUCAGCUCCACCA